rnacentral:rRNA from 1 species
GAUGAACGCUGGCGGCGUGCCUAAUACAUGCAAGUCGAGCGAACAGACGAGGAGCUUGCUCCUCUGACGUUAGCGGCGGACGGGUGAGUAACACGUGGAUAACCUACCUAUAAGACUGGGAUAACUUCGGGAAGCCGGAGCUAAUACCGGAUAAUAUAUUGAACCGCAUGGUUCAAUAGUGAAAGAAGGCUUUGCUGUCACUUAUAGAUGGAUUCGCGCCGCAUUAGCUAGUUGGUAAGGUAACGGCUUACCAAGGCGACGAUGCGUAGCCGACCUGAGAGGGUGAUCGGCCACACUGGAACUGAGACACGGUCCAGACUCCUACGGGAGGCAGCAGUAGGGAAUCUUCCGCAAUGGGCGAAAGCCUGACGGAGCAACGCCGCGUGAGUGAUGAAGGUCUUCGGAUCGUAAAACUCUGUUAUUAGGGAAGAACAAAUGUGUAAGUAACUAUGCACGUCUUGACGGUACCUAAUCAGAAAGCCACGGCUAACUACGUG